AUGUCAGAUGAUCAUAUAUUUGGGUUUGUUAGAUUUGCCGAAUGUUAUCCAAAUGUCUCAAUUGCUUAUCACAUUAUCUUAACGGUGCAUGUGACUAUAGCAUCAUUUGAAUGAAGUUUCUCAAAAUUGAAGUUACUGAAAAUUUUAUUUGAGGUCAACUAUGUCACAAGAAAGACUAUUACCAUCGUGGGACUUGAACCCGGGUCUCUAUCCGGCAAAUAUGACUUUUUUAGUGAAAAUGACUUUUUAGUGUUUUCCAUUGCAUUUGUGUUUACUUAUCCAUUCCAAAAUGACAUCCAACUACGUCAGGCCGGCUCAGGGAGGAGCGGCAGUGGCGGCGCGCGUCGACAUGGUUAG
rnacentral:rRNA from 1 species